GUGCUUCCUCUGUGGCCCCUGAUGUGUUGGUCUGCUGUGGUUCCUUGUUCCCAAAGCUGCACAAUGUAAAUAAUUCACAUGUGAAACCUCGAGUUAUGGAAACUCUUGGUGUUCGUAACUGUGUUUUUCCCUCUCUGCUUCAUUUGAAGGCUGAUGAUACCUACCUCCAGCUGAAGAAAGACCUGGAGUACCUAGAUCUAAAGAUGACAGGCCGGGACCUUCUCAAGGAUCGAAGUCUGAAGCCUGUGAAGAUCGCUGAGAGCGACACUGACGUCAAACUGAGCAUCUUCUGUGAACAAGACAGGGUCCUCCAGGACUUGGAAGACAAGAUACGAGCCCUUAAAGAGAACAAAGACCAGCUAGAAUCUGUGCUGGAGGUGUUGCACAGACAGAUGGAGCAGUACCGAGACCAGCCCCAGCACUUGGAGAAGAUUGCCUACCAGCAGAAGUUGCUGCAGGAGGACCUCGUCCAUAUCCGAGCUGAGCUCUCCAGAGAGUCCACUGAGAUGGAAAAUGCUUGGAACGAAUACCUGAAGUUGGAGAAUGAUGUGGAACAGCUGAAG
rnacentral:sRNA from 1 species